rnacentral:lncRNA from 1 species
GUUUGCAGCUUGAUUAACAAUAAAGCAGCCUCAAGUGUGGUGUACCCUGAUCAUAAUCCAAGCGUACAAGAUCCGAGAAAGAAGAGAAGUUGAAGCUCCUGCACCAUCGCUCUCCCUUCUCCUUCUUUCUUCAGUAGCACUUUUUUUUUAUAUGUGUAACAAAAAUGUAUAAAAAAAAUUCAUUUUUUUCGCGUUAAGUAGAUGAAACUUUUUUCAAAACAAUGUCGUCCUCAUUUAGUGAGAUUUUUGCCUAAUCUUUUUAUCACUAAAACUCAACACCAUAAGUGCAAACCUAUUAUAAAAAAAAAAUCAUUUUUUGAUCCAAUUUGAGCCUAAUUGAAUAAACCAAAGUAAACCAGAAUUUAGACAACCAACUUACAAAAGUAUUUAAUAGGCCUGAGCGUUUAGGUACCUGUUGGGAUUCGAAUUGGAUUUUUCGGAUUUGGUCUAAUUGCUAUUACACCCUAGAUCCUAUUCUAGUAAACUAGUAAGUACGAAUUGGGUUCGGAUAUAACACAUCGGUUUCGGUUCUAAUUUGUAUCACA